GACCUAGACCUAGAGUCUAAAGCUGUAACCCGAAGCCUGUCGACCCAGCUGGGGACAGUCCCUCAAGUAUGCCGGCCUGUCAGACAGUGAGCUAUCCCCAAGAAUAUUAUCAUCACUGGAUGCUUCUGCCAGUUCUGUCUCUCAACAGGUCAUGAAAUAACAUCCAGCCUUGUUUUUUACCUGUACAUUAAUGAGUGGCCUAAUAACAUACAGCAUUGUUUUUUAACUUUUUUUCAAAGUCUUUGAUUUAUUAUCAAGAAAGUUUAAGCACCCAGUUGAAGUACUAUAGGGUGUUGAGCGCGCUUCCUUAUUUCUAUGUGUUAGUAUUAGUACCUCCUGCCUUUAUCACCAUGUUAUACAUAGCGCCCAAAUGCCAGUACCAAUUAUCACCUGUAACAGACAGCUAGUGGCUUGGCCAGUGCCAUCAGAGGCUCUCACAGACCUUUUCCACUGGGUACAGCUGUCAUACUAGGGAUCUCCAAUCAUCACUGAGCAGGACUGAAUAUUAUAUCAUAAAUGAAUUCAAGGAACAUACUGACGUACUGACAAUACACUGUGCUCCAUAAGAGAAUGACACGUGAGAUGACAGGUUUUUAAAAGCAGUGCUGCCAGUGCCAUAUUUGGGUACAUCCUGGUGAAUGCCUGAAACAAUGACAUCACAGGUAGCUGCGAGGCUGAGGGGGUUGAACUGGGUGGACAGUGGCCAAGCCAGGCUUUGGGGUUGAACCCGGUGGAGAGUUGCCACGGAGACUCAGAGGAAGGACGGACGAGGUGAGAGCCAGCAGCAGCUGAUCACUGAAGUGCCACACCUCCAGCACCAGCACCAGCACCCUGCACACGCUCACUGAGAACAGUGUCACCUGUUUUUAGAGAAGAUCCUGAGAAGAUCCGUGUGAAUCCUUGCCCGUAGUCAUGCAGCCCAAGAGUGCAGAUUUUGGUGAACUUGCCCCCCAGCAUGGCAGUGACCUCAGCAAGCCUGAGCCAGCUCGUUUUGUGGAAAAGCUAAAGGACCACACCAUCCCAAUGAGCAAGAGAUUGAUACUGGAGUGUAAAUUUACUGGAAGCCCACAAAUGUU